rnacentral:rRNA from 1 species
UCCCACCCGUGUUUACUGUACCUUAGUUGCUUCGGCGGGCCCGCCAUUCAUGGCCGCCGGGGGCUCUCAGCCCCGGGCCCGCGCCCGCCGGAGACACCACGAACUCUGUCUGAUCUAGUGAAGUCUGAGUUGAUUGUAUCGCAAUCAGUUAAAACUUUCAACAAUGGAUCUCUUGGUUCCGGCAUCGAUGAAGAACGCAGCGAAAUGCGAUAACUAGUGUGAAUUGCAGAAUUCCGUGAAUCAUCGAGUCUUUGAACGCACAUUGCGCCCCCUGGUAUUCCGGGGGGCAUGCCUGUCCGAGCGUCAUUGCUGCCCAUCAAGCACGGCUUGUGUGUUGGGUCGUCGUCCCCUCUCCGGGGGGGACGGGCCCCAAAGGCAGCGGCGGCACCGCGUCCGAUCCUCGAGCGUAUGGGGCUUUGUCACCCGCUCUGUAGGCCCGGCCGGCGCUUGCCGAACGCAAAACAACCUUUUUCCAGGUUGACCUCGGAUCAGGUAGGGAUACCCGCUGAA